rnacentral:rRNA from 1 species
CCUACGGGUGGCAGCAGUGGGGAAUAUUGGACAAUGGGGGCAACCCUGAUCCAGCCAUGCCGCGUGUGUGAAGAAGGCCCUCGGGUUGUAAAGCACUUUCAGUGAGGAAGAACGCCUGGUGGUUAAUACCCAUCAGGUAAGACAUCACUCACAGAAGAAGCACCGGCUAACUCCGUGCCAGCAGCCGCGGUAAUACGGAGGGUGCGAGCGUUAAUCGGAAUUACUGGGCGUAAAGCGCGCGUAGGUGGCUUGAUAAGCCGGUUGUGAAAGCCCCGGGCUCAACCUGGGAACGGCAUCCGGAACUGUCAAGCUAGAGUGCAGGAGAGGAAGGUAGAAUUCCCGGUGUAGCGGUGAAAUGCGUAGAGAUCGGGAGGAAUACCAGUGGCGAAGGCGGCCUUCUGGACUGACACUGACACUGAGGUGCGAAAGCGUGGGUAGCAAACAGGAUUAGAUACCCCAGUAGUC